rfam:Thermoplasmatales archaeon DG-70-1 WOR1_52_54_1004, whole genome shotgun sequence.
GCCGAGGUGUCAGAGUGGCUAUGUGACCGGCUGCAGACCGGUUUAUGGGGGUUCGAAUCCCUCCCUCGGCU